rnacentral:rRNA from 1 species
UAGGGAAUCUUCCGCAAUGGGCGAAAGCCUGACGGAGCAAUGCCGCGUGUGUGAUGAAGGUCUUCGGAUCGUAAAACUCUGUUAUCAGGGAAGAACAAAUGUGUACGUAACUAUGCACGUCUUGAUGGCACCUAAUCAGAAAGCCCCGGCUAACUACGUGCCAGCAGCCGCGGUAAUACGUAGGUGGCAAGCGUUCUCCGGAAUUAUUGGGCGUAAAGCGCGCGUAGGCGGUUUUUUAAGUCUGGUGUGAAAGCCCACGGCUCAACCGUGGAAGGGCAUUGGAAACUGGAAAACUUGAGUGCAGAAGAGGAAAGUGGAAUUCCAAGUGUAGCGGUGAAAUGCGCAGAGAUAUGGAGGAACACCAGUGGCGAAGGCGGCUAACUGGUCUGAAACUGACGCUGAUGUGCGAAAGCGUGGGGAGCAAACAGG